AGAGCGAAUGGUGGAUGCCUUGACUGGUAAAGGCGAUGAAGGACGUACUAGACUGCGAUAAGCUACGGGGAGCUGUCAAGAAGCUUUGAUCCGUAGAUUUCCGAAUGGGGCAACCCAAUGUAUAGAGAUAUACAUUACCUAUAUAGGAGCGAACGAGGGGAAUUGAAACAUCUUAGUACCCUCAGGAAAAGAAAUCAAUAGAGAUUGCGUCAGUAGCGGCGAGCGAAAGCGCAAGAGGGCAAACCCAGUGCUUGCACUGGGGGUUGUAGGACUGCAAUGUGCAAGAGGUGAGUUUAGCAGAACAUUCUGGAAAGUAUAGCCAUAGAGGGUGAUAGUCCCGUAUGCGAAAAACAAACCUUAGCUAGCAGUAUCCUGAGUAGGGCGGGACACGAGAAAUCCUGUCUGAAGCUGGGUCGACCACGAUCCAACCCUAAAUACUAAUACCAGAUCGAUAGUGCACAAGUACCGUGAGGGAAAGGUGAAAAGAACUGAGGUGAUCAGAGUGAAAUAGAACCUGAAACCAUUUGCUUACAAUCAUUCAGAGCACUAUGUAGCAAUACAGUGUGAUGGACUGCCUUUUGCAUAAUGAGCCUGCGAGUUGUGGUGUCUGGCAAGGUUAAGCAAACGCGAAGCCGUAGCGAAAGCGAGUCUGAAUAGGGCGCUUAGUCAGAUGCUGCAGACCCGAAACGAAGUGAUCUAUCCAUGAGCAAGUUGAAGCUAGUGUAAGAACUAGUGGAGGACUGAACCCAUAGGCGUUGAAAAGCCCCGGGAUGACUUGUGGAUAGGGGUGAAAGGCCAAUCAAACUUCGUGAUAGCUGGUUCUCUCCGAAAUAUAUUUAGGUAUAGCGUUGUGUCGUAAUAUAAGGGGGUAGAGCACUGAAUGGGCUAGGGCAUACACCAAUGUACCAAACCCUAUCAAACUCCGAAUACCUUAUAUGUAAUCACAGCAGUCAGGCGGCGAGUGAUAAAAUCCGUCGUCAAGAGGGAAACAACCCAGACUACCAGCUAAGGUCCCUAAAUCUUACUUAAGUGGAAAACGAUGUGAAGUUACUUAAACAACCAGGAGGUUGGCUUAGAAGCAGCCAUCCUUUAAAGAAAGCGUAAUAGCUCACUGGUCUAGUGAUUUUGCGCGGAAAAUAUAACGGGGCUAAAGUAAGUACCGAAGCUGUAGACUUGACUUUGUCAAGUGGUAGGAGAGCGUUCUAUUUGCGUCGAAGGUAUACCGGUAAGGAGUGCUGGAGCGAAUAGAAGUGAGCAUGCAGGCAUGAGUAGCGAUAAUUAAUGUGAGAAUCAUUAACGCCGUAAACCCAAGGUUUCCUACGCGAUGCUCGUCAUCGUAGGGUUAGUCGGGUCCUAAGUCGAGUCCGAAAGGGGUAGACGAUGGCAAAUUGGUUAAUAUUCCAAUACCAACAUUAGUGUGCGAUGGAAGGACGCUUAGGGCUAAGGGGGCUAGCGGAUGGAAGUGCUAGUCUAAGGUCGUAGGUGCUUAUACAGGCAAAUCCGUAUAAGAAUACACCGAGAACUGAAAGGCUUUUUGAAGUCUUCGGAUGGAUAGAAGAACCCCUGAUGCCGUCGAGCCAAGAAAAGUUUCUAAGUUUAGCUAAUGUUGCCCGUACCGUAAACCGACACAGGUGGGUGGGAUGAGUAUUCUAAGGCGCGUGGAAGAACUCUCUUUAAGGAACUCUGCAAAAUAGCACCGUAUCUUCGGUAUAAGGUGUGGUUCGCUUCGUAUUAGGAUUUACUCCGAAAGCGAAGAAACUUACAACAAAGAGUCCCUCCCGACUGUUUACCAAAAACACAGCACUCUGCUAACUCGUAAGAGGAUGUAUAGGGUGUGACGCCUGCCCGGUGCUCGAAGGUUAAUUGAUGGGGUUAGCAUUAGCGAAGCUCUUGAUCGAAGCCCGAGUAAACGGCGGCCGUAACUAUAACGGUCCUAAGGUAGCGAAAUUCCUUGUCGGUUAAAUACCGACCUGCAUGAAUGGCGUAACGAGAUGGGAGCUGUCUCAAAGAGGGAUCCAGUGAAAUUGUAGUGGAGGUGAAAAUUCCUCCUACCCGCGGCAAGACGGAAAGACCCCGUGGACCUUUACUACAGCUUGACACUGCUACUUGGAUAAGAAUGUGCAGGAUAGGUGGGAGGCUUUGAGUAUAUGACGCCAGUUGUAUAUGAGCCAUUGUUGAGAUACCACUCUUUCUUAUUUGGGUAGCUAACCAGCUUGAGUUAUCCUCAAGUGGGACAAUGUCUGGUGGGUAGUUUGACUGGGGCGGUCGCCUCCCAAAUAAUAACGGAGGCUUACAAAGGUUGGCUCAGAACGGUUGGAAAUCGUUCGUAGAGUAUAAAGGUAUAAGCCAGCUUAACUGCAAGACAUACAAGUCAAGCAGAGACGAAAGUCGGUCUUAGUGAUCCGGUGGUUCUGUGUGGAAGGGCCAUCGCUCAAAGGAUAAAAGGUACCCCGGGGAUAACAGGCUGAUCUCCCCCAAGAGCUCACAUCGACGGGGAGGUUUGGCACCUCGAUGUCGGCUCAUCGCAUCCUGGGGCUGGAGCAGGUCCCAAGGGUAUGGCUGUUCGCCAUUUAAAGCGGUACGCGAGCUGGGUUCAGAACGUCGUGAGACAGUUCGGUCCCUAUCUGCCGUGGGCGUAAGAAGAUUGAAGAGAUUUGACCCUAGUACGAGAGGACCGGGUUGAACAAACCACUGGUGUAGCUGUUGUUCUGCCAAGAGCAUCGCAGCGUAGCUAAGUUUGGAAAGGAUAAACGCUGAAAGCAUCUAAGCGUGAAGCCAACUCUAAGAUGAAUCUUCUCUAAGCUCUCUAGAAGACUACUAGUUUGAUAGGCUGGGUGUGUAAUGGAUGAAAGUCCUUUAGCUGACCAGUACUAAUAGAGCGUUUGGCUUAUCU
rnacentral:rRNA from 2 species